GAUGAACGCUGGCGGCGUGCCUAACACAUGCAAGUCGAACGAAGCACCUUACCUGAUUCUUCGGAUGAAAGUUUGGUGACUGAGUGGCGGACGGGUGAGUAACGCGUGGGUAACCUGCCCUGUACAGGGGGAUAACAGCUGGAAACGGCUGCUAAUACCGCAUAAGCGCACGAGGAGACAUCUCCUUGUGUGAAAAACUCCGGUGGUACAGGAUGGGCCCGCGUCUGAUUAGCUGGUUGGCAGGGUAACGGCCUACCAAGGCAACGAUCAGUAGCCGGUCUGAGGGGAUGAACGGCCACAUUGGAACUGAGACACGGUCCAAACUCCUACGGGAGGCAGCAGUGGGGAAUAUUGCACAAUGGGGGAAACCCUGAUGCAGCAACGCCGCGUGAGUGAAGAAGUAUUUCGGUAUGUAAAGCUCUAUCAGCAGGGAAGAUAAUGACGGUACCUGACUAAGAAGCUCCGGCUAAAUACGUG
rnacentral:rRNA from 1 species